GUUGAAGGUAUCCUGUGAGGGGUGCUGGAGGUAUCAGAAGUGCGAAUGCUGACAUAAGUAACGAUAAAGCGGGUGAAAAGCCCGCUCGCCGGAAGACCAAGGGUUCCUGUCCAACGUUAAUCGGGGCAGGGUGAGUCGACCCCUAAGGCGAGGCCGAAAGGCGUAGUCGAUGGGAAACGGGUUAAUAUUCCCGUACUUGGUGUUACUGCGAAGGGGGGACGGAGAAGGCUAUGUUGGCCGGGCGACGGUUGUCCCGGUUUAAGCGUGUAGGUGUGUGUUCCAGGUAAAUCCGGUUCACUUUAACACUGAGGCGUGAUGACGAGGCACCACGGUGCUGAAGCAACAAAUGCCCUGCUUCCAGGAAAAGCCUCUAAGCAUCAGGUAACAUCAAAUCGUACCCCAAACCGACACAGGUGGUCAGGUAGAGAAUACCAAGGCGCUUGAGAGAACUCGGGUGAAGGAACUAGGCAAAAUGGUGCCGUAACUUCGGGAGAAGGCACGCUGACACGUAGGUGAAGUGAUUUACUCAUGGAGCUGAAGUCAGUCGAAGAUACCAGCUGGCUGCAACUGUUUAUUAAAAACACAGCACUGUGCAAACACGAAAGUGGACGUAUACGGUGUGACGCCUGCCCGGUGCCGGAAGGUUAAUUGAUGGGGUCAGCGCAAGCGAAGCUCCUGAUCGAAGCCCCGGUAAACGGCGGCCGUAACUAUAACGGUCCUAAGGUAGCGAAAUUCCUUGUCGGGUAAGUUCCGACCUGCACGAAUGGCGUAAUGAUGGCCAGGCUGUCUCCACCCGAGACUCAGUGAAAUUGAACUCGCUGUGAAGAUGCAGUGUACCCGCGGCAAGACGGAAAGACCCCGUGAACCUUUACUAUAGCUUGACACUGAACAUUGAGCCUUGAUGUGUAGGAUAGGUGGGAGGCUUUGAAGCGUGGACGCCAGUCUGCGUGGAGCCGACCUUGAAAUACCACCCUUUAAUGUUUGAUGUUCUAACGUGGACCCGUAAUCCGGGUUGCGGACAGUGUCUGGUGGGUAGUUUGACUGGGGCGGUCUCCUCCUAAAGAGUAACGGAGGAGCACGAAGGUUGGCUAAUCCUGGUCGGACAUCAGGAGGUUAGUGCAAUGGCAUAAGCCAGCUUGACUGCGAGCGUGACGGCGCGAGCAGGUGCGAAAGCAGGUCAUAGUGAUCCGGUGGUUCUGAAUGGAAGGGCCAUCGCUCAACGGAUAAAAGGUACUCCGGGGAUAACAGGCUGAUACCGCCCAAGAGUUCAUAUCGACGGCGGUGUUUGGCACCUCGAUGUCGGCUCAUCACAUCCUGGGGCUGAAGUAGGUCCCAAGGGUAUGGCUGUUCGCCAUUUAAAGUGGUACGCGAGCUGGGUUUAGAACGUCGUGAGACAGUUCGGUCCCUAUCUGCCGUGGGCGCUGGAAGACUGAGGGGGGCUGCUCCUAGUACGAGAGGACCGGAGUGGACGCAUCACUGGUGUUCGGGUUGUCAUGCCAAUGGCACUGCCCGGUAGCUAAAUGCGGAAAAGAUAAGUGCUGAAAGCAUCUAAGCACGAAACUUGCCCC
rnacentral:rRNA from 1 species